rnacentral:rRNA from 1 species
CGGACAGUGUCUGGUGGGUAGUUUGACUGGGGCGGUCUCCUCCCAAAGCGUAACGGAGGAGCACGAAGGUUAGCUAAUCCUGGUCGGACAUCAGGAGGUUAGUGCAAUGGCAUAAGCUAGCUUGACUGCGAGCGUGACGGCGCGAGCAGGUGCGAAAGCAGGUCAUAGUGAUCCGGUGGUUCUGAAUGGAAGGGCCAUCGCUCAACGGAUAAAAGGUACUCCGGGGAUAACAGGCUGAUACCGCCCAAGAGUUCAUAUCGACGGCGGUGUUUGGCACCUCGAUGUCGGCUCAUCACAUCCUGGGGCUGAAGUAGGUCCCAAGGGUAUGGCUGUUCGCCAUUUAAAGUGGUACGCGAGCUGGGUUUAGAACGUCGUGAGACAGUUCGGUCCCUAUCUGCCGUGGGCGCUGGAGAAUUGAGGGGGGCUGCUCCUAGUACGAGAGGACCGGAGUGGACGCAUCACUGGUGUUCGGGUUGUCAUGCCAAUGGCACUGCCCGGUAGCUAAAUGCGGAAGAGAUAAGUGCUGAAAGCAUCUAAGCACGAAACUUGCCCCGAGAUGAGUUCUCCCUGAGACUUUAAGUCUCCUGAAGGAACGUUAAAGACGAUGACGUUGAUAGGCCGGGUGUGUAAGCGCAGCGAUGCGUUGAGCUAACCGGUACUAAUGAACCGUGAGGCUUAACCUU